UACGUAGGGGGCAAGCGUUGUCCGGAUUUAUUGGGCGUAAAGAGCGUGUAGGCGGCCACACAGGUCUGCUGUGAAAACUCGAGGCUCAACCUCGAGCUGUCGGUGGAAACCGUGUGGCUAGAGUCCGGAAGAGGAGAGUGGAAUUCCCGGUGCAGCGGUGAAAUGCGCAGAUAUCGGGAAGAACACCCGUGGCGAAGGCGGCUCUCUGGGACGGUACUGACGCUGAGACGCGAAAGCGUGGGGAGCAACGGG
rnacentral:rRNA from 1 species